CAUGCCGCGUGAGUGAAAAGAGGCCUCCGGUUGUAAGCUCUUUUGUCAGGGAAGAACGUGAAAGCUAUUUCUUUGCUGAUGACGUACCUGAGAUAGCACGCUAACUACGUGCCAGCAGCCGCGGUAAUACGUAGGGUGCAAGCGUUAAUCGGAAUUACUGGGCGUAAAGCGUGCGCAGCGGUUUGUAAGUCUGAUGUGAAAUCCCCGGGCUCAACCUGGGAAUUGCAUUGGAGACUGCAAGGCUAGAAUCUGGCAGAGGGGGGUAGAAUUCCACGUGUAGCAGUGAAAUGCGUAGAUAUGUGGAGGAACACCGAUGGCGAAGGCAGCCCCCUGGGUCAAGAUUGACGCUCAUGCACGAAAGCGUGGGGAGCAAACAGGAUUAGAUACCCUGGUAGUCCACGCCCUAAACGAUGUCUACUAGUUGUCGGGUCUUAAUUGACUUGGUAACGCAGCUAACGCGUGAAGUAGACCGCCUGGGGAGUACGGUCGCAAGAUUAAAACUCAAAGGAAUUGACGGGG
rnacentral:rRNA from 1 species